rnacentral:rRNA from 1 species
ACGCUCGACACCUACGGGAGGCAGCAGUGGGGAAUAUUGCACAAUGGGGGAAACCCUGAUGCAGCGACGCCGCGUGAGCGAAGAAGUAUUUCGGUAUGUAAAGCUCUAUCAGCAGGGAAGAAGAAAGACGGUACCUGACUAAGAACGCCCCGGCUAACUACGUACCAGCAGCCGCGGUAAUCUGAGCGGGCUGGCAAGGC